rnacentral:lncRNA from 1 species
UCGCUAGAAGCUGCUGUCAAGCUCGGCUGAGGUUUGGUGAGUCGGAUCAUGCCAUCAAGUGUUAUGCCCUUUGCUUGUUUUGAGGGUAGUAUAGCUGCAAACAGCCUGCAUAGGAGAUGUGGCAUUUAUGCCAUAAUGAUGCUUUCUGAUAUGCCCCUGAUCUUGAGGUUGUUUCCACCCUCACCUAUCUUCCUGCGCUGCCAGUUAGUGGGUUAGGAGAACUUGGGCUGUGGCAAGGUUUUGAACUUGUUUCUGUAGCUCUGUUAUCUGCAUGCUAUGGGUGUCUGUGGUGUGUUCCAAGUGAAUUCCUGAGCUCUGCUAGAAGACUGGUAAGUAUAGCUGUUGUGACAGGAGGAGAGGUGACCUCUUUUAGGGGGGAAGGCUUGGAUGGACCUUUGUAGUCCAGAUCAUCCAUACUGUGGAGGAGUGAGUCGCCCGAGUAACCUGAAAAGUCAUCGAGGACCGCCGCCAUAUUGGGCCUGGUUUCCCCAAGAGGCCUCAGCAGUAAGUCCCCGAUAUCGGCGGUAAACCUGGGAUGAUUGGGUCUUUAUUAUUUUUUUAUUUAUUCUUUCUCCCCAUCUUGUAGUACAUUCCUAUGGGCUUUGUAACAGGUUGGGGUGUCCCUUGACCAGCCAUUAUUUGUGCUUUUUCAGCUCGUAUGCACAGAGCUCCGCGUGCUUGGACUGCUUGUGUCUGGAACUUGCUCCGCCAACAGUAAUCCAAUUUUUUUAAACACAUUUUUUCAAUAUAACACAAGGUCACAAUAGAAAACAUGGAUAAUGAAAAAUAGAUCAAUGUAGGCAUAAAACUACACAGGUCACAUAAACCAACAGAAAAUACACAGUAUAUUUACUGGAAAAUGGGAGUUCAGUAUAAGUGGUAAUAUGAGUUCCACAGCUCAGGAGGAGAUUAAAAAAGGAAUUACAAGAAAAGGUAGUGGGGAGAAGAUGAGUGCUAUGUGUUCUGCAACUUGAAAUAUCUUUAGUUAAAAGUGAUUUAGCGAUAGCUGUUUCCACACUUUGUGUGCACCCCAAUUAAAAAACAACACACCUAAUACGCCAUUUGUAAUAGUGAAGUGGGGUGCUGUAACAUUAAAAAUAACAUCCUAAGGUGCAUAAACUUAUCUCUUAACUUGUAUCACAUUAUGGUCAAUAAUUCCAAACUCAAAACGAAAAAAAAUAAAAAAAAAUACAUAACUCAAUAUGAUAUGACAAUAUGACAAUAACAUUCCCAAAUUGAAAUAGGUAUAUUGCACACUUAAAUAAACAUGAGCUACUAAGCAAUCCUCACUAUGAUCGCAUCUGGGCCACAAAAGCCAGUCACCCCAUCAAUGAAAGGUAUGUUUCACCUGUUUAAAUAUCCUCUUCACAAUGCCUCUCAAAAAAACAUUAUAGCGUAAAGCUGUUGUAAUACUACCUUAAAACAAUUACAAAUGGAUACACUCACCUGUGAUGGAUGGAGUGUUUAGGCUUAGUCCACAUGAGUGUAUCUAUUCAUUAUUCCUUAAAGGUUUUAUUACAAUAGUAUGACACUAUGGUAUUUCCUUUGGUUUUUUUAUGAGCCGUUGAGGAGACUAGCACGGUGAGGUAAAAAAGGUAAGUCAUACUCACUUUUCAAACCUACACUCCUAAAUAAGUAGUGGGACACUAUAGCGUCCAGAAUAUAUGUUUGUAUUCCUUUAGUGUUCCUUAGUACAAGUAUAGUACUACUUUAGACUAGAAUUGCCCCAUCUGUGCCUUGAGAAAUAUGAUCCACACUCUCUCAAUACUCUGCUCAUCUUGUGAUUUCAGUAAGGCUUUCAUUUAAAGAAAAGUCAUAAUUCUCAUUUACUAUGUAUACUUACUUCCUGUAUUCACAUUGUGUUUUGUCAAAGGCAUGCCAGUGUUCUAUCAUGAUGCAGUGUCCAUCCAUUGCCCUUCUUUGAUACUUGGCACAGCAUUAAUAUCUCAAUUACAUCGUACAACUUAACAUGUUUAACAGGGUGAAGCUGCCUCUUAAUAACUUCUGGGGACUACCAUUCCCCUUAAUUUAUUUAAACCAAUUUUACUAUCACUUUUUAUUAUUUUGAAUUUGGAUUUGAAAACUUCAGAAUUUUUGUGUCAGGCAGAUGCACAACAAACAACGGAACAUAAAACAUGUCAUAUCUUGGUUAAAAAUAAUGAUCAAUUAUAUGUCUCGUAUAUAGAACUAAGAACAAAC